rnacentral:rRNA from 1 species
GACGAACGCUGGCGGCGUGCCUAAUACAUGCAAGUCGAGCGAAGUUUUUCUGGUGCUUGCACUAGAAAAACUUAGCGGCGAACGGGUGAGUAACACGUAAAGAACCUGCCUCAUAGACUGGGACAACUAUUGGAAACGAUAGCUAAUACCGGAUAACAGCAUUAACUGCAUGGUUGAUGUUUAAAAGUUGGUUUUGCUAACACUAUGAGAUGGCCUCGCGGUGCAUUAGCUAGUUGGUGGGGUAAAGGCCUACCAAGGCGACGAUGCAUAGCCGACCUGAGAGGGUGAUCGGCCACACUGGGACUGAGACACGGCCCAGACUCCUACGGGAGGCAGCAGUAGGGAAUCUUCCGCAAUGGGCGAAAGCCUGACGGAGCAACGCCGCGUGAGUGAAGAAGGAUUUCGGUUCGUAAAGCUCUGUUGUUAGGGAAGAAUGAUUGUGUAGUAACUAUACACAGUAGAGACGGUACCUAACCAGAAAGCCACGGCUAA